UUAAAAAUGUAUGUCAGGAAUGGUGGCUGGGUAAUACUCAGAGCUGCACAAAGAUAUCUGGGUUCUCCGGGGCUGUCCUCUGCUGGGUCCAGGUCCUUUCCAGGUCCUUCUUCUGGUUUUUUAUCGCUGAGGUCCAAGAAGCUGAAGGUGAGGAGGAGGACAGCGAUAAAAAACCAGAAGAAGGACCUGGAAAGGACCUGGACCCAGCAGAGGACAGCCCGGGAGAACCCAGCUGUCAAGCAUAGAAAGACAUGAUGGAGGAAGAAACAGUGGACGUGUCCCACAUGAAUUUGAGAUUUUCGGCUUCUCAGUAGCCAGUGGGAAUUUUAUCAACAUUGGUUUUGUUCCAGAUUUCAUCAUGUGAAAUGUCUUAUCCACUGACAUCUGACUUUUUUUCUUACGUUUGUCAGAUAUAUUUGACUGCGUUUGUUCAUGUUAAAAAUAAAAAUUUGCUAGCCAUGG
rnacentral:lncRNA from 1 species